UACAGAGGGUGCGAGCGUUCAUCGGAAUUACUGGGCGUAAAGCGUGCGUAGACGGCUAUCUAAGUCGGGUGUGAAAGCCCCGGGCUCAACCUGGGAAUUGCAUUCGAGACUGAAUAGCUAGGGUACGGUAGAGGGAAGCGGAAUUUCCGGUGUAGCGGUGAAAUGCGUAGAUAUCGGAAGGAACAUCAGUGGCGAAAGCGGCUUCCUGGACCAGUACCGACGUUCAGGCACGAAAGCGUGGGGAGCAAACAGG
rnacentral:rRNA from 1 species